GACGAACGCUGGCGGCGUGCCUAAUACAUGCAAGUCGAACGCUGAAGGAGGAGCUUGCUUCUCUGGAUGAGUUGCGAACGGGUGAGUAACGCGUAGGUAACCUGCCUGGUAGCGGGGGAUAACUAUUGGAAACGAUAGCUAAUACCGCAUAAGAGUAGAUGUUGCAUGACAUUUGCUUAAAAGGUGCAAUUGCCUCACUACCAGAUGGACCUGCGUUGUAUUAGCUAGUUGGUGGGGUAACGGCUCACCAAGGCGACGAUACAUCGCCGACCUGCGAGGGUGAGAGGCCACACUGGGACUGAGACACGGCCCAGACUCCUACGGGAGGCAGCAGUAGGGAAUCGUCGGCAAGGGACGGAAGGCUGACCGAGCAACGCGGCGUGAGGGAAGAAGGAUGUCGGAUCGUAAAGCACUGUUGUAAGAGAAGAACGAGUGUGAGAGUGGAAAGUUCACACUGUGACGGUAUCUUACCAGAAAGGGACGGCUAACUACGUG
rnacentral:rRNA from 1 species